rnacentral:rRNA from 1 species
UACGUAGGGGGCAAGCGUUAUCCGGAUUUACUGGGUGUAAAGGGAGCGUAGACGGCACUGCAAGUCUGGAGUGAAAGCCCGAGGCCCAACCACGGGACUGCUCUGGAAACUGGCAGUCUUGAGUACAGUAGAGGUGGGCGGAAUUCGUGGUGUAGCGGUGAAAUGCUUAGAUAUCACGAAGAACUCCGAUUGCGAAGGCAGCUCACUGGACUGCAACUGACACUGAGGCUCGAAAGUGUGGGUAUCAAACAGG